AUGGUUCUUGGUUAUUAUCAGGAGACUGCAGGUGGGAAGUCCCCCCUCUUCCUUCCAACACAGUUCCUGACCCAGUGCCCGCUGAGCCUCUCUGUCCCCUGUUUCAACGACUACCCUGAAGUUGAAUGGAGCUUCCCAGGAUUCAGCCAAAUACAGAACCCACCGACAGUGCCCCCGUACUGCUGUCCCCAGCUCACCACUGCCUGUCCGGUGGUUUCCAGCCCUUCUGAUGCGUCAGGCAUGAAAGGGAGACCUCCAUGUGCCAGCAAGGCUGCAGAGGCUCCGGGGACUAGAGCUGAGGGCCUCACUCCUUCCUCCAUAGGGAGAGAGAAACUGAGGAGAGACUUCUUUUCCUCUCAUCCAUCCGUUCAUUCAACAAAUGUGCACCAAGGACAUUUCUCAGCAGUGGCCCUCCUGUGCACGCGGCCCCGUGGGAGUCACGGAAAUGAGACAGGCAGGCGCUGGGCUGGGCUACAUGGAAGAGAGCGGCUUAAAGGCCGAGGGUGUCCCUGGGGGCCUUCUGCUGUCCAAGACGGGCGAGAUCUGUUAAGUCAGGAGCUCCUGAUCCUGGGGCACCCAGCAGAAGAGCUGGGAGGUGCCUUUCCUCCACCCUCUCACGGGAGGCAGCCACACGACUUCAGAAUGGAUCUUGGGCCCUGGGAAAAGCCGGGAACACUGGUGCUCAGCCCAGCGUUUCUGGAAAGCAGAAGGACGCAUCCAGGGGCCUGGGAGGAAGGGGUGGGUGAUGACUGUUGGGCUGGGCCAUGUCCUCAGGGUGCCCCUGGGAGAGGUCAGCUGUCCACCCGGAAGGGAGGGCUGCAGCCCUGGAGUCUUGGGCAGUUCUGGGGGCACUGGGAGGGAGACUUGGGACCAAGACUAGGGCCCGAGAGGAAUGGACUGACACUCGCUUUACCCCGGAAGGGACAGAAGCCAAGAGAGGGGCACCGACUUCCCAGGGAGACUCUGCAGAGCCACAGAAGAACCCUGGCUUCUCCUGCCCUCAGUAGACAGGGUCCCAGGAAGUGGAUUCACACACCAAAGAGGGCCAGGACACUUCCAGGGGGCGUGAUGUAG
rnacentral:lncRNA from 1 species